AAUGAUGCUUCAAACUUCAUGCCCACGCCACAGGGCUCCUACUAAACAACCUCUGCAGUUCUGCUGAUGGAGGCUGGUAGUGCAGAGU